GCAGUCCAAGGCGAGGCAGCCAGUAUCUUAUGACCAACUGUUCUGUUCUCUACUUGGAAGGAUGAUGUUCCACAGCGUUUACUGGUGGAUGUUAUAAGAUUUUUAAAAUGCAGCCCUUGAUGUCUGGUGGUCAACCUAGACAAGUCGUUGCGCAUGAUGCACCUGUCAAAUAAGUCGCUUGGAUUGAACAGUUGCAUUUCCUAGUUACAGGGAGCCGGGCUAGGAAUAUUUGAGUCAAUUGAAAAUUUGAUGGCAAUGGAAAUGUCAAGCAAUCGGUCCAUGGACCGCAUGGUUCAUAUAGUAUCGCCGGAGGACUACAUGGUUAAUCUGACUUGGGAGGAUCUAUGGGUGACUGUAUCAGACAGUAACGGUACGCCAACGCACUCCUGUCAGGCUUGACCUGGUUUGCUUGACCCAGUCAGGUCUUGGCCAUUAUGGGUCCCAUUGUGAAAAGUCCACGCUUCUUGAUGCUCUCGCAGGGUUAUGUGACUCGAAAAGUGACACCCUAAUGUCAACACUGACACUUAAAGAAGCUGUAUAUUACUCUGCACAACUCCAACUCCCUGAUUCUAUGUCAAAAGUCAAGAAAAGAGAGAGAGCAGAGGCAACCAUAAAGGAAAUGGGAUUGCAAGAUGCAAUGAACACAAGAAUUGGAGAGCAGAACUCAGAGGGAAUCAGUGGUGGCCAAAGGAGAAGAGUUGGCAUUUGCAUCGAGAUCUUGACUCAUUCGAAGUUUCUGCUUGUAGACGAGCCAACUAGCAGCCUAGACAGUGCUGCAUCAUUCCAUGUAAUGAAAAGGAUCGUCAACUUAGCGAAAUUUGAGGCUAUGAAUAUUGUUGUGUCGAUUCAUCAGCCUAGCUGUGAAGUUUUCUGUUCGAUUACUUGCGCCCCUGUUUAUCUUUAGGUAAAACUGUUUAUUUUUUGACCUAGUUCUAUGGCCGAUGAGGUAAGUCUAAUUCAAUUUGAGCUUAUUAUGUGAAGAAAAUAAUGAUCUUCAUCACUGAUUUUAUGCUUCUAUUGAGGAUAUUAUAGUAAUUCAUAUGAUUUUGUCUUCUUUGCAAUUCAUAGUGAUUCUCUGUCUAUGAUCU